AUUGAACGCUGGCGGCAGGCUUAACACAUGCAAGUCGAACGUGUGGCGGACGGGUGAGUAAUGCUUGGGAAUCCAGCUUAUGGAGGGGGAUAAAUACGGGAAACUGUAGAUAAUACCGUGUACUAUAGGAUGAGCCCAAGUGGGAUUAGGUAGUUGGUGAAGUAAAGGCUCACCAAGCCGACGAUCUCUAGCUGGUCAGAGAGGAUGACCAGACACACGGGGAAUGGGACCCGGCCCAGACUCCUACGGGAGGCAGCAGUGGGGAAUAUUGCGCAAUGGGGGCAACCUGACGCAGCCAUGCCGCGUGAAUGAAGAAGGCCUUCGGGUUGUAAAGUUCUUUCGGUAGCGAGGCGUUAACUACAGAAGAAGCACCGGCUAACUCCGUGCCAGCAGCCGCGGUAAUAC
rnacentral:rRNA from 1 species